rnacentral:rRNA from 1 species
GACGAACGCUGGCGGCGUGCCUAAUACAUGCAAGUUGAGCGCUGAAGGUUGGUACUUGUACCAACUGGAUGAGCAGCGAACGGGUGAGUAACGCGUGGGGAAUCUGCCUUUGAGCGGGGGACAACAUUUGGAAACGAAUGCUAAUACCGCAUAAAAACUUUAAACACAAGUUUUAAGUUUGAAAGAUGCAAUUGCAUCACUCAAAGAUGAUCCCGCGUUGUAUUAGCUAGUUGGUGAGGUAAAGGCUCACCAAGGCGAUGAUACAUAGCCGACCUGAGAGGGUGAUCGGCCACAUUGGGACCGAGACACGGCCCAAACUCCUACGGGAGGCAGCAGUAGGGAAUCUUCGGCAAUGGACGAAAGUCUGACCGAGCAACGCCGCGUGAGUGAAGAAGGUUUUCGGAUCGUAAAACUCUGUUGGUAGAGAAGAACGUUGGUGAGAGUGGAAAGCUCAUCAAGUGACGGUAACUACCCAGAAAGGGACGGCUAACUACGUG